rnacentral:rRNA from 1 species
GUGCAGCAGGCGCGAAAACUUCGCAAUACGCGCAAGCGUGACGAGGGAACCCCAAGUACUCCUGCUUUUUGCAGGAGUUUUUGCCAAGUGUAAACAGCUUGGAGAAUAAGGGCGGGGUAAGGCCGGUGCCAGCCGCCGCGGUAACACCGGCCGCCCAAGUGGUGACCGCUAUUAUUGGGCCUAAAGCGUCCGUAGCCGGUCCAGUAAGUCUUUGGGUAAAUCCUACUGCUUAACGGUAGGAAUUCUGGAGAUACUGCUGGACUUGGAGCUGGGAGAGGUCGAAGGUACUCCUGGGGUAGGGGUGAGAUCCUAUAAUCCUAGGGGGACCACCAGUGGCGAAGGCGUUCGACUAGAACAGGCUUGACGGUGAGGGACGAAAGCCAGGGGCGCGAACCGGAUUAGAUACCCGGGUAGUCC